rnacentral:rRNA from 1 species
UACGUAGGGGGCUAGCGUUGUCCGGAUUUAUUGGGCGUAAAGAGCGUGUGGGCGGCCAGGUAGGUCUGCUGUGAAAACUCGAGGCUCAACCUCGAGACGUCGGCGGAAACCAUCUGGCUAGAGUCCGGAAGAGGAGAGUGGAAUUCCUGGUGUAGCGGUGAAAUGCGCAGAUAUCAGGAAGAACACCCGUGGCGAAGGCGGCGCUCUGGGACGGUACUGACGCUGAGACGCGAAAGCGUGGGGAGCGAACAGG